AAAAAAGAAAAAAUAUGACACGAACUUUUUCAUGACAACACAGUAGUCCUCAUUGUAAACCAUAGCCCUCAUAUACAUUCACAUUAGUAAAACCAAAAGAAAUCCCACACCCCCAAACCUAAACUAAGCAUUGUCCUCGAUGCUUUAAAAAAAAUGAAUGGAAUGGAUGCAUUGCAAAUUGGCACACUGUGUAUGGAAUGAAAUAAAAUAAAAA
rnacentral:lncRNA from 1 species